GGUCACAGACAAACAAUGUGAAGCUUGGACCGGUGGAGAAAUGAAAGUACCCUUUGCCAAAACAGGAUUGACCUCACUAACAUCAGACAUUGCAGCCAAGAUAAGACGAGGUGAAUCCAAACCUCUCCCACUCCCCCCUUCCCCCGUGGAGUUUAUUCUCUCACCACGCUCCCGAGAGAAGUAAAUCUGCAGAAUAAACUCCCAAGAGCAAUACGUGAGCGGAGGAGUGGAGAAAAAAAAGAAAAGAACCCCAGUGGAGACGCGAGGAGGAUGAGGAGAAGUAGGAGGAGGAGGAGGGAUAAGGGUGAAGAAAAGAAGAGAGAGGAGGAGGAAGAGGAGAAGAAAGGAGAGUAAGAAGAGGAGGAGAAGGAAUAGGAGGACGAGGACUCGACGGGGAGACCGGAGGGAGUAAACUGAAGCAAGUACUGAAAGGCACUAAAGAAAAUUAUAAAUAUAUUUUUUUCGUCGGGAAUGUGGCGGUGGAGGGUCAGGGGGCGAGCCGCGGGAGUUGCAGUGAUGCUUGGUGCAAUGCGGUGGGUGGACAGCUGCGGCGGUGACGAUGAUGGUGACGAUGUGUUGAGGGGGUUUAGGGAGCUAUAAACCUUGUAGAUGGGCAUCAAGGCAGCAGUUUUUUUUUUUUUUUACUUUUUUGGUGCAGUGACAAACGUUCCUCUUCUAAACAUGCAUGAAGGAGACGUGACGAGAAGUAACGUUAAGUGACUUUUAUGAAUGUUAAAGAAAACAAUGAUCUUAUAGUUUUCAGAAGUAAGAUGGAUUACGUGAAAUGACUGGUAUGGAUAAAAGAUUACUAGUUUAGUUUUCAGGAGUAAGGUGGAGAGUGUAAAAUGACAGGUAUAAAUAUAAAAAAAACCAGUGAUAGUAAAGUCUUCAGAAGUCUGUAAAUUCUGUUAUGUUUCAUUUAUAUGAUUCACAAUAUCUAUAAUGGAAUGAUUCAGUCCGGGAAUCCAUGUUGUAAUAUGUUUGUUUUCCGGCGUUCCUGGUAUAGCUGUCGUAACUGAUAACAACUUCCCAGAAAUUAAGCUUUUGAUGUUUGCUUGGUUACAUUUUCAAUUUAUGUGACUGAUGUAACUGAUAUUUAUUCUUCAUAUAUUUAAACAUUAAUAUUUUGUUGGUUAGAUGUCUUAUUAAAACGUCUGUUGU